GAUGUUUUGAAAAUAUUUUUUAUUAUUUUUAUAUAUUUUUAAUUUUAUUUCUAAUUGAUUAUAAAAUUAAAAAAUAAUAAUUUAUCACAAUAAAAAAUAGAUUAAUAUUAGUAAUAACAAAGCCACUCUAAGUCUUAUCAACUAUUCAUAUUUUUUCUAAUUUUAGACUUAAAUAUUUUCUUGUAACUUAUGAUAUCUAUUUGGCUCUUUAUAUUUUAUUACCACUUACACACACACCCCCGCAUGCAUGUAUAUCCCUUCAGUGCACUGAAAUGUACGUAGUUUCGUAACCUAAUUUUGUGAAGUCAGUCAGCUCACACUAACUUAGUCCGAUGGAAUGGGUUUUCGGAAGGUUUGUUAAAUGCGCAAAACUUAAUGCAUGCACAAGAUAGAUUCAUCGCCUUCGUCCUUGACCUGCACAAAUCAACUCCCAAAACUCAAGCGCAAGAGCGAUGUGCAACCCCCCCUCCACACCAAUCCUCCCGACGAUUUUCCAUGUUGAGUCGACAUCUGCCCGCAAUGUCUCACCUGCGAUGGUGAAAGCCGUUGGGUGUUGGAAUUUUGUAGCAGGCAAAAACUAGUCCUACAGCACUGCAAUCGAAACUCUAGCAGAAGCUUCUCUUCAUGGCGGUGUCAGCGUUGAUGCUGCCGCAGCAACAAGUAGACCCAGGAACUCGCUGGAAUAGCAGAGCCAUGGUCGUUGAAAUCCCGAUUUGAGGAGUUCCCUGCCGCCUCCCUUCCAUUUAGAAUCGUAUCGGCUUCGCCGGCAAAAUCUCGAGUGCCAUCGGCGAAAUCACCUUUACGGGUUGCGAAAUCUCCAACUCUACCUACAUUGAAGGAGCUUCUGUACGAACCAACUCCAGAACUCAAACAGCCUUUGGCUGCCCCAUCCAAAUCUCCUCGACAAAGUUUACGGUCCUUGUGGAGCGCCCGGGAAGAUCGGCCCCCGACGUCUUUCCUCUCCAACUCGAAGAAUGUGCCCACCUUGCAGAGAAGUCUUCAGCAGUCAGCCGUGGAGACGACGUCGACAUUUUUCCCAUCAACUGCAACUUUUGCGCCUCCUAUUGCACAUACCUCUCUACCUUUGUCUCCUAGCACUGUCGCGGGUCAACCGCAUUACAUCACGCCCAUCACGUCAGCACGUGGGCAGGAUGGAGCGACUCGGAAAUCAACGAGUCCGGCUAGGUUGCUUGUUUCCACCAAGCGCCUCGCCUUCUGGAACUC
rnacentral:lncRNA from 1 species